rnacentral:rRNA from 1 species
UACGUAGGGCAAGCGUUGUCCGGAUUAUUGGGCGUAAAGAGCGUGUAGGCGGCUAGAUAGGUCCGUUGUGAAAACUCGAGGCUCAACCUCGAGACGUCGAUGGAAACCAUCUGGCUAGAGUCCGGAAGAGGAGAGUGGAAUUCCUGGUGUAGCGGUGAAAUGCGCAGAUAUCAGGAAGAACACCCGUGGCGAAGGCGGCUCUCUGGUACGUGACUGACGCUGAGACGCGAAAGCGUGGGGAGCAAACAGG